UACGUAGGGCGCAAGCGUUGUCCGGAAUUAUUGGGCGUAAAGAGCUCGUAGGCGGUUUGUCGCGUCUGCUGUGAAAACUGGGGGCUCAACCCCCAGCCUGCAGUGGUGACGGGCAGACUAGAGUGCGGUAGGGGAGAUUGGAAUUCCUGGUGUAGCGGUGGAAUGCGCAGAUAUCAGGAGGAACACCGGUGGCGAAGGCGGCCUGCUGGGCAGUAGCUGACACUGAGGCGCGACAGCGUGGGGAGCAAACAGG
rnacentral:rRNA from 1 species